GGAAGGGCUGUAGCUCAGGGGUAGAGCAUCUGCUUUGAAUGGAGAAGGUACCAGGUCAAUCCCUGAUAUCUCCA